GACUUAUCACUGGCUGUGGCUUGUAUACAAUACUCGUACAAUAUAGCUGUUUCGCCAAAGUGCGGUUACAAAAACGGAAGUAUAAUUCUCCGUAUCCAUCAAUCAAUUGUACAAAAAAAGAAAAAAAAAAUUGUAAAAAAUGGCGCAGUUUUGGAAGCCAGGAACAGCGAAACCACGGCUACUCGACGACGAAGAAGGCGGCGUUCUAUUCUACUCUGCCGCUCCCUCAUCAUCCACAUAUAAUAUAGAGAAACAGAGGGAGAGAUUACCAGUGUAUAGAUACAGGGAAUCUAUAUUGUAUCUAGUGGAAACUCAUUCCACUACUAUCAUUGUUGGUGAAACUGGCAGUGGUAAAACCACUCAAAUCCCUCAGUACCUUAAGGAAGCAGGCUGGGCUGAUGGCGGGCGCGUUAUUGCAUGCACUCAACCAAGACGGUUGGCUGUGCAGAGUGUUGCUGCUAGGUUGGCCGAAGAAAUGAGAGUUAACCUUGGGGAGGAAGUUGGUUAUACUAUCCGAUUUGAGGAUGUGACAAAUUCAGACUUGACUAGGAUCAAGUUUCUCACGGAUGGAGUAUUACUCAGAGAAAUGAUGGAUGACCCUCUUUUAAGCAUGUACAGUGUAAUUAUGGUAGAUGAAGCUCACGAGAGAUCCCUUUCAACAGACAUAUUGUUGGGUCUUCUGAAAAAGAUACAACGACGUAGGCCUGAGUUGCGCCUGAUUAUAGCAUCGGCCACUAUUGAAGCAAAAUCAAUGGCUGCUUUUUUCGAGACCAGGAAAAGACGGCCUCGAUCGGAAGGAGAAGAUCAUGGACUGCAGACAGAACCUGCUAUUUUGUCUGUUGAGGGUAGAGGAUUUAAUGUAGAGAUUUUCUACUCCGAGGAGCCUGUUUCAGAUUAUCUCCAAGCUACUGUUUCUACAGUGAUGUCAAUACAUGACAAGGAGCCAAUGGGAGAUAUUCUUGUCUUUUUAACUGGGCAAGAUGAGAUCGAUACUGCAGUUCAAAUGAUCACAGAAGAGGCAUUAAAUAGUGGCAAGUCAUCUUUAGUUUCAGGGCUGAUUGUUUUGCCUUUGUACUCGGGACUCACUCGUGCGGAUCAGGACUUGGUGUUUUCUCCUUCCCCUCGAGGUAAAAGGAAGGUGGUAAUAUCAACAAAUAUAGCAGAGACAUCCCUUACGUUGGAGGGCAUUGUUUAUGUUGUUGACAGUGGUUUCUCAAAACAGCGGUUCUACAACCCGAUUACCGAUAUAGAGAAUCUUGUAGUGGCACCAAUAUCUAAAGCAUCUGCUAGGCAAAGGGCUGGGAGGGCUGGCCGUGUACGGCCUGGAAAGUGUUACAGGCUUUAUACAGAAGAUUAUUUUGUCAAUGAGAUGUCUUCACAUGGGAUUCCUGAGAUGCAAAGAUCAAACCUUGUUUCUAGUGUGAUUCAGUUAAAAGCGUUAGGUAUUGAUAACAUCUUAGGGUUCGAUUGGCCAGCAUCACCAUCACCUGAAGCAAUGGUUAGGGCUCUUGAAGUACUUUAUUCGCUCGGAGUUCUUGAUGAUGAUGCUAAACUUACUUCACCAGUGGGAUUCCAAGUUGCAGAGCUACCAUUGGAUCCCAUGAUAUCAAAGAUGAUCAUAGCUUCCGACCAACUUGGAUGCUCCGAGGAAAUCAUCACAGUGUCUGCUAUCCUGUCAGUUCAGUCAAUAUGGAUCUCAGUUAAGGGGCAGAGGGAGCUGGAUGAAGCCAAAUUGAGGUUUGCGGCAGCAGAGGGUGAUCACGUGACCUUCCUCAAUGUAUACAAGGGAUUUCUCCAGUCAAAUAAAUCUUCUAAAUGGUGUCACAGAAACUGUAUCAAUUACCAGGCAAUGAAAAAAGUAAUGGAAGUUAGAGAACAGCUAAGAAAAAUAGCACAGAGACUAGGGUUAUCCUUAAAAUCAUGUGAAAAUGAUAUGCAGGUACUACGAAGGGCGGUGACUGCUGGAUUUUUUGCUAAUGCAUGUCGUUUAGAGCCAUACAGUCAUAAUGGGACGUAUAAGACUGUCAGGAGCUCACAAGAAGUUUACAUCCAUCCAUCAUCUGUAUUGUUCAGGGUGAACCCAAAAUGGGUUGUAUAUCAUUCGCUAGUGUCAACUGAUCGUCAGUACAUGCGCAAUGUCAUCUCUAUUGAUCCUUCUUGGUUACGUGAGGCUGCACCUCACUUUUAUCAGCAACAACCUCUGAAUACUAACCGUCACUAGGUGGUAUUGCUCACUAGUUAUGUUCAAGAACGAAAGUUUGGAUCAUUCUUGUUUUAUUUUAUUGCACCCUUGAGAACCUAUGUUACUAAAAUUGGAGCUAUGCAGCUUAAUUGUAUUGAUGCUUUCAAAGCUUUCACCACUAGAUCAAUUAUCAGUCUCUUACACAUGACCUGCAAUGAAGAUGCAGUUUAAAUGAAAGGCUAAAAGGAGUGAGACAUAUUUAGGGGUGUGGGAUAUCUGUCAUGUGGCACCAUGUAAGCAUUAAUGUUUUGUUAGGAAAAAUAGGGGUGGGGGGAUCUUAGACAUGUGGCAUUGAUGUUUCUUCCACCAAUUUUAUUUAUUUUA